rnacentral:rRNA from 1 species
AUAUCAAUAAGCGGAGGAAAAGAAACUAACAAGGAUUCCCCUAGUAACUGCGAGUGAAGCGGGAAAAGCUCAAAUUUAAAAUCUGGUGGCCUUUUGGCCAUCCGAGUUGUAAUUUAGAGAAGUGUCUUCCGCGCUGGACCGUGCACAAGUCUCCUGGAAUGGAGCGUCAUAGAGGGUGAGAAUCCCGUCUUUGGCACGGACUCCCGGUGUUUCUGUGAUGCGCUCUCGACGAGUCGAGUUGUUUGGGAAUGCAGCUCAAAAUGGGUGGUGAACUCCAUCUAAAGCUAAAUAUUGGCGAGAGACCGAUAGCGAACAAGUACCGUGAGGGAAAGAUGAAAAGCACUUUGGAAAGAGAGUGAAACAGUACGUGAAAUUGUUGAAAGGGAAACGCUUGAAGUCAGUCGCGUCGACCGAGACUCAGCCUUGCCUCGGCUUGGUGUACUUCUCGGCUGACGGGUCAGCAUCAAUUUYGAUCCUCGGAUAAUGGCAAGGGAAAGGUAGCACCUUUUUAGGUGUGUUAUAGUCCUCUGUCGCAUGCGAGGGUUGGGAUUGAGGAACUCAGCAUGCACCUCCAGGUGUCGGGGCCUUGGCCCACGUUACGUGCUUAGGAUGCUGGCGUAAUGGCUUUAAACGACCCGUCUUGAAACACGGACCAAGGAGUCUAACAUACCCGCGAGUGUUCGGGUGGAAAACCCGUGCGCGUAAUGAAAGUAAAAGUUGGGACCUCUGUCGUGGAGGGCACCGACGCCCGGACCAGACCUUCUGUGACGGCUCUGCGGUAGAGCGUGUAUGUUGGGACCCGAAAGAUGGUGAACUAUGCCUGAAUAGGGUGAAGCCAGAGGAAACUCUGGUGGAGGCUCGUAGCGAUUCUGACGUGCAAAUCGAUCGUCAAAUUUGGGUAUAGGGGCGAAAGACUAAUCGAACCAUCUAGUAGCUGG